rnacentral:rRNA from 1 species
GUGGAUCGAUGAAGAACGCA